AGCAUCUGCCUCUUUGAAAACAGACGAGGCAGAGUCAUGGUUUCAAAGAAGCUGAUGAAAACAUUUCCAAUAGUGAAGGGAUAAACUAAAAGGUAUCAUCUUCUCACUUUGUAUCUCUUGCUGACAACAAACAAAUCAACAAACAAACAAGCAAGCAAACGAUAAAACAGAACAAACCAAAUGCAAACAAACACCCUCCCCCUAAAAAAAAAAAAAAUCAAACCAGAAUUCAUCUUGGUAUUUAAACAAUUAGUUUUUACUUAAUAUAACUUUACUGUUCAAAAAUUAUACUUACUAUAGCUACAACAUAGUUUAUAAGGACCAAACUUUUAUAGUAAAACCUUGAUACACAAACA